UACGUAGGGGGCAAGCGUUGUCCGGAAUCAUUGGGCGUAAAGCGCGCGUAGGCGGCCCGGUAAGUCCGCUGUCAAAGUCAAAGGCUCAACCUUUGAAUGCCGGUGGAUACUGUCGGGCUCGAGUCCGGAAGAGGCGAGUGGAAUUCCUGGUGUAGCGGUGAAAUGCGUAGAUAUCAGGAGGAACACCUGUGGCGAAAGCGGCUCACUGGACCACAACUGACGCUGAUGCACGAAAGCUAGGGGAGCAAACAGG
rnacentral:rRNA from 1 species